GGCGCCGACGUGAGCGUGAGCCUGUGCCGCCAAGGAGGCCGCCCCUGCUGGAGCCAGAGCCACCGAAGGCACGGGAACCAGAGGUCUAACUGAGUAGAGGAUGGCCACGCCUCCGCUCCAUCGUGCCUCUCCUGCCAAAGUUGAAAAGGAAGGGAUGUUGAUGAUGUUCUUUUAUGCAUAAUCCCUGAUGACUCCUUCUGCAAUUGGAGUUAGAAGACAGUAGCUCAGUUUGCCCUUACCUCCCUUACCGUGCUGAUGACUCAGAAAGUGAAAUGACUGGGGUAAUAUCUGGUGAAAGUGGAGGGAGUUCGAAACCUAGAGUCUUGUGGACCUUUGUAGUAGAAGGGCUUCCCUCUGUCCUAGGGAUCCCAGUCUGAUUCUAACCACGUCUUGCACCAGGAGGAAUUAUCCGGACCCAGCUCGGACACGCUGGCCACUGUAGAAUCCAGCUCCAAUGAGCCUGACAAGGAGGUGGCAUCUCCGGAUGUGGCAGCUACAGCCACUCUUUCCUCCGUGGAGGAGCCCGGCCCUAACCCAACAGCCACGCCACCAGUAUGGGACCGUGGAGGACCUCUGCAGCAAGUUGCCUGUCCAGUCCCAGACAGCUGCCAGACUAGCUCGACCACCAGAGGCGUGGGGACCAAUGAGGACCUUCGGUUGCCUAGACGACGUCCACCACCAGGGAAACAAAUACCCUGCUCUAGCCCUGGCUGCUCCCUCAGUUUCCCCAGUGUUCGAGAUCUGGCACAGCAUCUCCGUACCCACUGUCCACCCACACAGUCACUGGAAGGCAAACUCUUCCGAUGCUCAGCCCUGAGCUGCACUGAGAGUUUCCCCAGCAUGCAGGAGCUGGUAGCCCACGGCAAGCUGCACUACAAGCCCAAUCGAUACUUCAAGUGAGACCCUGACCAUCCCCUCUGUCGAUUCCCAAUCUUUAGGGCUUCCUAACUGGAGGAAGGGUGGGUUGAAGUAUGAGUAUGGCCUGGGAAACCAGCCCCAACCGUGCAUGGAAAACAGAUGUGAAUUAGGAGUAAGUCACUGUGGCUACAGGCUCAGUGUGGAGGUGCAGAGUACACAUGCUGUGGUUCUGUCCAGUUCCACCUCAUUUCUUAUAUGGAAAACUGGUCACCUAAGUAAAAUCAAAACUUGAGAGUCUGAGCUGGAAAGAUCCAGAAGACUACAGUGAAGGAGGGCAUGGAGGCCAAGCUCCUUCACUUUGGGUACAGUACCACAGAGGUUCUAAUGUAGAUACCCUUCCCACAUCCUGGUCCCUGGGUAGCAAUGGAUAGGCCCUUCCUGUUGCCCAGGAGACAGUCAAGUACUGUGCCUGCCUCCAGGUGUGAGAAUUGCCUCCUGCGCUUCCGCACUCAUCGCUCGCUCUUCAAGCAUCUGCAUGUUUGUAUAGACCAUGGUCAGAACCCAGCCCCGCCACCACCCCCUGCCCUGGACAAAGAGCCACCUGUACCUGAGCGUCCCCCAGAGUCCGACCCUUCGUCCUCCCUGGGCCUGCCAUUCCCACUACUUGAGCCUUUCACCUCUGCCCCCACUGGGCCCUUCCUUCCUUACUUGAACCCUGCACCCUUUGGCCUGAGUCCCCCGAGACUGCGCCCAUUCCUGGCUGCCACUCCAGGGCCACCGACAUCCAGCACUGCCAUCUGGAAGAAGAGUCAAGGUGCUACCAGUAGUCCUAGAAGACCUCAGGGCGGCUCCGAUGCGCCCUCAGGUGCGUGCAGGUGACCACCAGGGACGGGUGGAGGGGCCCUUCAUUCCUGUGCCCUAAGUGGGCCCUGUGAAUGCUGGAAAGCAGCGGUGACUGUCCCUUAAAAUACAUGAUUUUUGCCUUUC
rnacentral:lncRNA from 1 species